rnacentral:tRNA from 1 species
UGGGGACGUAGCUCAGCCUGGGAGAGCGUCCCGUUCGCAUCGGGAAGGUCGGGGGUUCGAUUCCCCUCGUCUCCAU